GUCUUUAAAAUUAAAAAAUUUGGCGGUAUUUUAGUCUAUUUAGAGGAACCUGUUUUUUAAUUGAUAGUCCACGAUUAACUUUACUUUAGAUAUUAGUUUGUAUAUCGUUGUAGUUGGAAUAUUUUAGGAUAUAAUAUUUUCAAAUCAAGAUGCAGUUUAUUUUAAAGGUAAAAUGGGUUACAGUAAAAAUGUUAAGUAAAUUGGAUUUAAUAGUAAGCUCUAAAAUAUGUACAUAUUGCCCGUCGCUUUCAUAUAAAAUGAAAUAAGUCGUAACAGAGUAGGCCUAUUGGAAAAUGGGCCUAGAAUGCAAAUUAGAGCUUGAUAAGUAUUUUAGUUACAUUAAAAGGUUAACUGUGAAUUCAGUUUAAUUUGAAUAGAUUAGUUUAUUAAGAAUUUUAGGGUUAAAUUAUUAAUUAAAAAAUUAAGUGUUUUAUUUUGUUAAAGAAUAAAUUUAAUUAUAGUUUAUAGUAUAGUGAUAGAAAAUUUUAGAUAUUGAAAAGAAAAUUUAAAUUAUUGUACCUUGUGUAUCAGGGUUUAUCUAUUUAAUGUUCCCGAAUUUUUAAGAGUUAUUUUUAUUGUAAAAUAAAUAUUUAUAAUACUUGAAUAGUAAUGAAACGUUAUUCGUUUAAUAAUUUAUCUGGUUUUUUAAGAAAUAGAUUUAAUUAUUUUAGUAUUAUUAUAAAUAAUAUGGGAUAAUCUUUUAAGUAAAAAGUUAUAAUGAAUGGAAAUUGUAUAAGAAAUAGAAUUGGAAUUUUUUAGUUUUAAAAUAAUGUUAUAAUAUAAAAUUUAAUUUAUCUAUUAAAAUUAUAACUAAAAUUUUGGAUGUUAUGAAAUAAUGAUAUAAUUAGUAAAGUUAAUAUAAGGAAUUCGGCAAAGUACUUUUCACCUGUUUAAUAAAAACAUGUCUUUUAGAUAAUAAUUUAAAGUCUAACCUGCCCAAUGAUUGAAUGGCUGCAGUAUCUUGACUGUACAAAGGUAGCAUAAUCAUUAGUUUUUUAAUUAAAAGCUUGUAUGAAGGGUUGGAUGAGAGAGUAACUGUCUUUAGAAUUUUAUCUUUAAGUGAAAAAGCUUAAAUGUUUUAGAAAGACGAGAAGACCCUAUAGAGUUUUUUGGUUGGGGUGACUUUAAAAUUUGAUAAACUUUUAUGUUAUCUGUGUGCUUGAUCCAUGAUUACAAGAAAAAAUUACCUUAGGGAUAACAGCGUAAUUUUUUUUGAGAGUUCUAAUCG
rnacentral:rRNA from 1 species